GGGUCAGUAGGUUGGUCGUGCCACCGGUACGUUCUGGUCUCACUGAUUCCUCCUUCCUGAAGAACCGUAAUGCCAUUAAUUUGGUGUUGUGGGGAAACAGGACUGUUACUUUGAAAAAAUUAGAGUGUUUAAAGCAAGCUAACGCUUGAAUACAUUAGCAUGGAAUAAUGAAAUAGGACGAUCGAUCCUAUUUUGUUGGUUUCUAGGAUUGACGUA
rnacentral:rRNA from 1 species